GGGGAUUUAGCUCAGUGGUAGAGCACGUGCGUAGCAAGUGCAAGGCCCUGGGUUCGAUCCCCAGCUCCA
rfam:Rattus norvegicus chromosome 2, whole genome shotgun sequence.